GUCAGGAUGGCCGAGUGGUCUAAGGCGCCAGACUCAAGCUCCAGAUGGAGCCGUGGGUUCAAAUCCUACUUCUGACA